rnacentral:rRNA from 1 species
AUACGGAGGGUGCAAGCGUUACUCGGAAUCACUGGGCGUAAAGCGCGCGCAGGCGGUCUUUUAAGUUGGAUGUGAAAGCCUACGGCUCAACCGUAGAACUGCAUCCAAAACUAUUAGACUAGAGUGUGGGAGAGGAAGAUGGAAUUAGUUGUGUAGGGGUAAAAUCCGUAGAGAUAACUAGGAAUACCAAAAGCGAAGGCAAUCUUCUGGAACACUACUGACGCUGAGGCGCGAAAGCGUGGGUAGCAAACAGGAUUAGAUACCCUAGUAGUCC